rnacentral:rRNA from 1 species
GGAGGGUGCGAGCGUUAAUCGGAAUUACUGGGCGUAAAGCGCGCGUAGGCGGCCUGAUCAGUCGGAUGUGAAAGCCCUGGGGCUUAACCUGGGAAUUGCACUCGAUACUGUCAGGCUAGAGUAUGGGAGAGGGAAGUGGGAUUUCCGGUGUAGCGGUGAAAUGCGCAGAUAUCGGAAGGAACACCAGUGGCGAAGGCGACUUCCUGGCCCAAUACUGACGCUCAGGUGCGAAAGCGUGGGUAGCGAACAGGAUUAGAUACCCUGGUAGUCCACGCCGUAAACGAUGAGAACUAGAUGCCGGGAGGAUUUACCUCUCGGUGUCGCAGCUAACGCGUUAAGUUCUCCGCCUGGGGAGUACGCCGGCAAACGGUA